rnacentral:piRNA from 1 species
UGUUGUAGUUCCAAUCUGGUUGGUCCA